ACAAGCAAGAACCCAGAAAACCUGGAAAGUAGGAGGAAGAAACUUUGCAACAAACAAGAAAAUUAGUUUUUCUUAUCGAAAAUGACGCAACAACCCUCAUUCAUUUCGGCUCAAAACACCGAUUCAAAGUUUAUUUACUAAGUUUUUAUUGUUGUUGCAUUUGGUGGACUUUCUUCCUCAGUUACCCGCUGGUUAAGGUUCUUAGAGCUUGAGAAGUCGGGGCUGUUUCGCUGGUUGAUGCAGUUCGGCGGCUUCAAGGAGCGCCUUUUAGCCGACGACCCGUUCCUCUCCAUGGUCGGAAUCAAGUACUGCAUUGGAAUGUUCACCAUGAUUCCGUGCUUGUUUCUCUUCCUGCCCCUACUGUUUCUCUCCGACCACCACUUGCAACUAGUGCUGGAACAAUUGCCAAGUUCUUCCAUAACUGCCUUGAUAAUGCAUUCCAGGUUGCUCUUGCCGGAACCUCAUAUUCAUUUCUACAGAGAUUAGGGGUUGUGGUGGUAUCGAGUCUUAGCUGGUGUUAUUGAACAGCAGAUUCUGGAUACUUUGCUACACCAUCGCAAACUUAUGUUGAGUGCUAUUUGCUCUACUGCUCGGACAGCACCUUCUCGCCAUUAAGGUGGAGAACCCGUGUAUGGGUGAAAUCAGUCUUGGACAACACCUUCUCGCCAUUAAGUUCGUCUUAUCGUCCACAUGGAAUUAGAAUCUGCAGAAUGUGUAAAUUCUUGGUGGGUUGAUAUAUGGGGGUUCUUUUAAUUUUGAUGUUGUGGAUCCACGAAGAAGUGUACUUAGUAAUGUGCUGUGUGUUAAUGUGUCAGCUUGUGGGCGGUCUGGCUAUUGGCAUGUCGAUAAUAAUUUUUUCUAGCUUGUAAUUUUGGGUUGUUGCUUGACAUGUGUGGGUGGUGAUUGGUUAAGUGAAGUUUAUUGGGAUGUUGAUAGUUUAUUGAGACUUGUGAAAUUGUUUAUUAAUUAUGUUGAGAUCCUUGUAGAGGAACAUCUAUAUUUAGUGUGAACAAAUGAGUUUUUAUUCUACAAGUAAAAGAGGCUAUCUAAGAAUGAAUAGUAAAAUUUCGACCACUUCUUUUUUCCAUUUUUAUCCCUCUAUUUUAUUCAUUUUCCAUUUUUGUCCCUUUGUAUGCCUCUGUCUGGGGUUGUUUUAUUCGAUGGGACAAAAUGGUAAAAGCCGCUGGCCCUAAAAUUUUCAUCUGUCUCUCUCUCUCGAAUUUUUUCAAGAACCCAGAAAACCUUUUUAUUUUUUGACAAGCAAGAACCCAGAAAACCUAGAAAGGAGGAGGAAGAAACUUUGCAACUAACAAGAAAAUGAGUUUUUCUUAUCGAAAAUGACGCAACAACCCUCAUUCAUUUCGGCUCAAAACACCGAUUCAAAGUUUAUUUACUUAGUUUUUAUUGUUGUUGCAUUUGGUGGACUUUCUUCCUCAGUUACCCGCUGGUUAAGGUACGAAUGGAGGUUUUCUUCAGUUUUUGUAUUUUCUUCAUCUUCUUUCUUAUUCUCUCAUCUUUGGGUCUAAUCUGUGAGUUAAGGAGGUUGAAGUUUCUGUGAAUAGAUGGCUUAGAGUUAGGGUUGUGUUUUGGUCAAUUAAAAUUGAGGGUUUAUUGUAUUGGGUUUAAUUUGUUGACAAAUCAUUGAAUCGAGAAAUGAACCAACAUCACUUUUUAAGUUCAUAGUAGUGCGAAAGUGUCUUGAAUCUCUUGAGAUGUUAUCAAAGGUCGUUACCAAUGAUACCAUGUGUUGUUUUG